GUUUACCUUCCUUAUCGCCUCGGGGGUUUGGCAGGGGGGGAUUUCUGUGUCUGGCUGCUGUCUUGCAAGGCUGAUGUUGGGAAAGCCCACCUUGGAUUUACAGCUUUGCUCUCCCAUGAAGCAGCAGCAGCGCUUGAGAGCAGAAAUGAGAGGCCCUGGCAGGACUACAAAGGGCUCCGGAGGAGCAGGUACGCCGGGGAUGAGGUCGAAUUCUGCCCUGAUUUACACCCCAUAACCUGGCAGCAGCUAAAGUUUUGCAGACAACCCGACGAGAUAAUCAUCACACGCUGGCAAUCACUUGCCAUCAAUUAUCCCCACGCUGCUGCUGUCAGUGGAUCACAGCCCCUACCUGGUGGGAGUCACUGCUGGUGCCACCGAGGCAUUUUCCA
rnacentral:lncRNA from 1 species